ensembl:lncRNA
AUUCCUUAGGAAGGAUAUUGGGAUGGAGCUUGGCUUGUAACCAUUGAAUUGAGUAAUCAGAAGGCCAGAGGAGCCAUGCCAUCUGAAAGUCAAUGUGGAUAGUUUGGAAGAAAGAUGGAAGGGCCCUGGAUCCUGCCCAGAGAGACCAGCUGGGGCCAUAGACCUGCGUAAGACUGAUAAAUCAGGCAAGGAGAAGUGAGUUACUGUAUAAGGAGCCUAAGGAUACAGAUGAAGGUUUUGGUGCUCUCCAUUCAUCCAUCCAUCAUUAGACAGUGCUUCUCCAGAGAUGACAAGAUGUGAUUGCCUGAAACAAAUGCAUAUUAUUUCUUCCUGAGUAGACCUUUCCCUCUUUCCAAGGUAAUAAUCAUGCAUUCACACAGCUCUCAUUUGGUACUGUUUUCCAAGUGACUGAGGAAGGAGUGGUAAUCAAGUGAACUUUGGAGACAAAAAAAAAUCCUUAUGGGAAUCUUCAAAAAGUGUUUCUUUAAAAAUGAGAUUGCUCUGUCUUCCGAUGGCUGUUUUUUAUUUAGGCUGGAUAUGUUCUUUUACUAUCUUGCUUGUAAAUUACUGGAAGAUUGUCUUCAUUUCUUUUCAGGCUUCACACUGAAAGAUGCACAAACUAAGUUUCAGAAAUAUGUAUGGCAUGAGGAGAAUUCUGAUUCACUUCUCACCACUAGUUGGUCAAUGCAAGGGAGGAGUCCGCUCUAUGGAAAUAUCAGGUUGUUUUCCUGGUAUGAGGGGUUCCUUUGGCUUGUCUGAGGGGGCAGAGCUGAAGGUAACAAUGGUGAACCCCCUUCUUCCCAAUCUUCUUCCCAGGUAUGUAUGAAUUUCUCAGCAUGCAGCUUAAGUUUUUAGGAUGUACUGGCAAAAUUGGGCUUUUUGUAGUCUUAGUUGUAUCUUGGAGUGGUUUCUGCAAAGGCAAACAGCCCAUAUAUCUCUACCCGCUUUUUACAUUGAAGAUAUGGUGCAGAGCAGUGACAGGGUGAGGCUCCACUUAGUAAUAUGUAUAUGGAAAAUUAACACUUGCACUACGCUGGGGCCAGGUUGAUUUCAUACCUAGGCAUAAUGGAGAGCCACUCAUAUGACGUUAUCUGAGGAAUGUCCAGAAAAAAAAUCUAAAAUACCUAUGAGGGGCUAUAAUGUUCCAUGUGUCCACUGCUAGCAUAUCACCCCAUUCUUUAUAGUGUUAUCCUUUCAAGGCCUGUGUCCUAGGGCUGAGUCUAGUCACCUAACAACAUCGAGAAGCCAAUCACUGAGUUCCCUACUACUGUGUCUUCCUCUAUAAUCAGAUCAUAUUCCUCAGCUUCUCUCUUAUCCCAUCUUGAGUUGCUUUCUCUCUUCAACCAGUUGAUUGAUGUUGAGGCAUCCAUAAUGCCUCCAAAUGGAACGUAAUUGAGAAAUGAUAAACACCAGUACGACAUAUUACUUCAUUGUGCUUCUUUCCUCCUUAAACUAUAGAUAUUCCUGAGAAGAUAAACAGGUAAUCACUUAUAUUUUCAGUAUAGAGCAAAUAGUUUCGUGAUAUAUGAGGCUGUGGACAACAGGUAACCAAUGGACAGCUGGUCUGAAAAAAAUGACAGAAAGUUCUACUGUUUUCAAUAAUUUUACUGUUUUCACUGUGCUGCCUGAUAACUCUGGAACUGUAUUUCUUUUUUCUUCAUUAUUUUUUAAAUUUUCCACCAGCACAUAUGGUAGAAUUCUACUAGAGGCUCCAGGCCUCCCAUUUAACCUCAA